rnacentral:sRNA from 1 species
UGGGAUGUAAAAUCGAAGAGUACAGCGA